UUCUACGGCCGUGCCACCCUGAACAAGCCCGAUCCCAUCUGAUCUCAGAAGCUAAGCUGGGUUGGGCCUGAUUAGUACUUGGAUGAGAGACCACCUAGGAAGACCAGGUGCUGUAGGCA
rnacentral:rRNA from 1 species